CAAUAGCGUAUAUUAAAGUUGUUGCAGUUAAAAAGCUCGUAGUUGGAUUUGUGGCGUACGGUGUGUUCCGGGCACUUGUUGUCUGAGUAACCUGCUGUUGCCAUCCUUGGGUGGAACCUGUGUGGCAUUAGGUUGUCGUGCAGGGGAUGCCCAUCAUUUACUGUGAAAAAAUUAGAGUGUUCAAAGCAGGCUUAUGCCGUUGAAUAUAUUAGCAUGGAAUAAUGAGAUAGGACUUUUUUGCUAUUUUGUUGGUUUGCGCAAGAAGGUAAUGAUUAAUAGGGACAGUUGGGGGUAUUCGUAUUCCAUUGUCAGAGGUGAAAUUCUUGGAUUUUGGAAGACGAACUACUGCGAAAGCAUUUACCAAGGAUGUUUUCAUUAA
rnacentral:rRNA from 1 species